GAAAAGCUACAAUCUAUAUGCCGCUUCAACUAGUGGUUUUCAUUUUAUCCUUCUCGACAGCCCUUCAUGUGUAUGAUACAGAAGAUCAGGAUCCUUCUAGCUAGACAGCCUUGGAGGAUUUGGAGUCUUUUGGUGCGUGUUCGUGAGAAUUUGCUAAGUUGUCUCAGUAUUUUAGUUUAUGGAGCAGUGGACAUGUUUAUGUUUUUGAUUUACUUAAAUUGUUGUUUUUGGAGACCUUCCGUUUCACAGGGGAUUUUAGAAUUUGUUGGAAUUGCUAUUGUGGUCUUUUAUCCUAAGGAGUUCUUGUUAUUAUUGUACUUCAUGUUUGGUUUUUUAUGGUAUGUGGACACCGAUAAUAUGUGAACUUUUGACAUUGUGUUGAUGAAUUUUUAGUUGCUUUGGUUGUA